rnacentral:lncRNA from 1 species
UCCUUAUAAGGCUUGGGCAAUCCUCCUCCUCUUGAGUUAGCUUUUGGGGUGUGAGUUAGGCCCAAGACCAAUUUUAACAUGGUAUCAAAGCCAAACCCAUCUCACCCAAUGUUGGGCCUCCGGAUUGAGAUUCGGGAGAGAUUUUUCACGCCCAGUUAAGGUUUGGGCGUGAGGGGAUGUUAGAAGAAAGAGAAGAAAAUCCCACAUUAGUAGUUAAUGAGAUGGGUGGUCUCCUUAUAAGGCUUGGGCAAUCCUCCUCCUCUUAAGCUAGCUUUUGGGGUGUGAGUUAGGCCACAUUGGUAGUUAAUGAGAUGGGUGGUCUCCUUAUAAGCUUUUGGGGUGUGAGUUAGGCCACAUUGGUAGUUAAUGAGAUGGGUGGUCUCCUUAUAAGGCUUGAGCAAUCCUCCUCCUCUUAAGCUAACUUUUGGGGUGUGAGUUAGGCCCAAGAGGGAUGUUAGAAUAGCUCACUCACCUGUCUUGAGCAAUCCUCCUCCUCUUGAGCUAGCUUUUGGGGUGUGAGUUAGGCCCUAGAAGGGAUGUUAGAAUAGCUCACUCACCUGCAAGGGCAGCUAAUUCAACUUCUCCUUCCAAAGGAAAUAACCCAAGAGGGGAUUUUAGAAUAGCUCACUCACCUGCCUUGGGCAAUCGUCCUCCUCUUGAGCUAGCUUUUGGGGUGUGAGUUAGGCCAAAAGGGGAUGUUAGAAUAGCUCACUCACCUGCAAGGGCAACUAAUUCAACAACUUCUGCUUACAAAGGAAAUAGGACCUCAAGAUUAUCCUCACACUCACGGACUAGUCUCAUUAGAGUCUCCGUAGUAAAGAUCGGCUGAUGAAGAG